GAGCUAAGCAGGAGUCCUGGCAGGGCGGAGACCAGGGUCCCACCGAUCCCAGGUUCAGAAAGAAGACAGGGGCCCAAGGGCGGCAGCACAAGCAGAGGCCCUAACAUCUCGCGCCCCAGUUUGAAGGGGAGAUCGUGGUUCACACGAAGAUGAUGAUCGACCCCAACGCUAAGACACGUCGCGGGGGUGGCAAGCACCUCGGGAUCCGGCGCGGGGAGAUCCUGGAGGUGAUCGAGUUCACCAGCAAUGAGGAGAUGCUGUGCCGGGACCCCAAAGGCAAAUAUGGCUACGUGCCCAGAACAGCGCUCCUGCCCCUGGAGACGGAGGUGUACGAUGAUGUCGACUUCUGCGGUACGUGGACACUCUGGGAGGGCUGGAGGGACCCUGGCGAUUCCCCGGGGGCGCUGCUCACUAUUGGGCUUCUGGGGAGAGGGGUCCAUGGAAGUCACGCUUCCUCGGCAGACCCCCUGGAAAACCAACCACUCCCCCUGGGACGGUAAGACCGGUAGGCAUGGGGCCAGGACAGCCGCCAGCCCAGCGCCCGCUCACCCAGGAGCCCUGGAUCCCAGCACUGGAAAGUCACAGAGCUGCCCGGACUUGUACCUGGCCACAUAAAGCCCCAGUUUAAAGCA
rnacentral:sRNA from 1 species